rnacentral:rRNA from 1 species
AUUGAACGCUGGCGGCAGGCUUAACACAUGCAAGUCGAGCGGAGAGAGGUAGCUUGCUACUGAUCUUAGCGGCGGACGGGUGAGUAAUGCUUAGGAAUCUGCCUAUUAGUGGGGGAUAACAUUUCGAAAGGAAUGCUAAUACCGCAUACGUCCUACGGGAGAAAGCAGGGGAUCUUCGGACCUUGCGCUAAUAGAUGAGCCUAAGUCGGAUUAGCUAGUUGGUGGGGUAAAGGCCUACCAAGGCGACGAUCUGUAGCGGGUCUGAGAGGAUGAUCCGCCAAACUGGGACUGAGACACGGCCCAGACUCCUACGGGAGGCAGCAGUGGGGAAUAUUGGACGAUGGGCGCAAGCCUGAUCCAGCCAUGCCGCGUGUGUGAAGAAGGCCUUAUGGUUGUAAAGCACUUUAAGCGAGGAGGAGGCUACUUUAGUUAAUACCUAGAGAUAGUGGACGUUACUCGCAGAAUAAGCACCGGCUAACUCUGUGCCAGCCGCCGCCGUAA